ACAUGGUUCUAUAUAAGACCCGUACGGCGCACUACCACUGCGCUUACAGCGGCACGGAUGGACCCCUGUUCGAGGACACUGACGAGUGACGGACCCACACAAGGACACAGCAUGCAGGCGAAAGGACCAAAGCCGUAGAAAAUUUCCUGCGUCCACUCUGGCUCAACGAGAUCCUCAAAGUUGACAUCGACAACCUCCUCUGCACCAUCUGCUGCACCGCUUUGGUGACAUGGAACGACAUGUUCAAACACCUCACCGAGAAACAUGGCCUGGUCUUCGACGAGGCAUACAAUAGAGUCAUACCUUACAUACUGAAACCGGACCUCCUCUGUGCCCUAUGUAAGGCUAACUUCCCGAAUUACCACCAUCUGGACUCACAUAUGAAUGCCCAUUAUAAUAACUACAUGUGCUCCGAGUGUGGUGACACUUUCCUCGCUUCAUCCCGCUUGAAGAAACAUCUUAAAAUCCAUGACACGGGGAGAUUUAUAUGUGAUGAAUGCGGGAAAGUGUUCAGUUUAGAUAAAUACAGGAAAAAACAUGUAGAAUUAGUACAUAAGCAGGAACAGAAAAUACAAUGUCUAUAUUGUCCGGAGAAAUUCCUAAACACUUAUCCUAGACAUUUACAUGUUUUAGAACACCAUAGAGAGAAAGUUAAAACGAUAACCUGCGAGUUGUGUGGAAAGACUUUCGAUUGGCGACCAUACUUUCUAGCUCAUGUCCGAAGGAAACAUAAUAACGAAAAAAAUUACAUUUGCAAAUAUUGCGAUAGAAGAUUUUUCAUGAAAGUUGAGUGUAAGCGACAUGAAAUGGCGGCACAUUUGAAAGUGAAGACCAAGUGUAGGGUGGUGGCCCAAUUGCCUCAAAAGCCGGGGAAAUAUGCUUGUAGUUUUUGCGGUAAGCAGUAUUUAAAUAAGAAUUGUUUGAUAACGCAUUUCAACACGCAUGAGGUGGUGUUGGAUGCUGACCAGUUAAACGCCAUUACUGAGAGCUGUGCGCUUAGUCAAAAUGGGCUUAAUACUUCAAUUGACUCUUAAGAAUCCUACUAAAAUGAUUGGUAACACCAGGCUCCUAUUUCACCACGGUGACAGGUGCGACAAUUCGACUUAUCUCACUGUUGCUGACGUCACAGGCAUCCAUGUGCUACGGUUACCGUUUACCAUCGGACGGGCCGUAUUCCUGUUUGUCACCAUCAUUGUAUUAUUAAAAAAAAAACUUUUUUAUAUCGGCAAAAAACAGGUAUUUCUCUUGCGAUGUUUAUGAU